rnacentral:lncRNA from 1 species
UCGCUUUCUUCUCAUCUCUCACCGUUCCAUCUCAUCAUCGUUCCAUCUCAUCUAAUUCUUUUCCUUUUUCUCCUUUUUCAACGAGCCCAGCCUCGUAUUGGGCCUUUCUUACUGAUCAUCUCUUUACACUAUCUUUCUCUUUCAUUAAGGACAUAUCAGCUAGAGGAAAACUGGUGAAAAAAUUAUCCGUAGUUAUAUUUCUUCCGUGAUGAAGAUAUGGUUCCGCUAACUUCAUAACUACAAAUUCGCCCAACGGUGUUGAAUUCCGCGUUUCAUCCUUCCCUAGUGUUAAAAACAGAAAAACAAAAAAAAAACAAAAAAGAAAAAAGAAAAGAAAGAAA